AGAGGUUGCCGACGGCUCUGCGCCCAACGACGACAGGGAAGGUCGAGGGAGGGUGGUUUCCUCCCGCCCCACACCCAGUCUCCGAGCCGGAUAUAUACAGUGUCACGUUUGGGAGCAGAAAGACCAGAGCAGUUUCCUUGUGGCUGGAGUACUUCCCGUAGCCUCCGGGAAGGACCGGGAUUUAGCGGACCACUAGUUGAAACCCACCCCCGUGCUGGAGGAGCAGUUACCUGUUUGCCAACUGAAGUCUGGAAAAUAUUAGGUGGAAAAUUCCAGAAAUAAAUCAUUUAUAAGUUUUAAAUUCCAUGCCAUUCUGAGUAGCGUGAUGAACUCUUGCGCUGUCCCACCUAGGAAGCAGGUCAUCCCUUCAUCCAGCAUAUCCACGCUGCGUACACUGCCAAUCCAUUUUUGAGGUGGCUUCCUCAGUUAUCAGAUCAACUAUUACAGUGCUUUGUUCAAGCAACUCGUGUACGGUAGCCUAAUGCUGUGUCACAUGCUGUGUCACCUCGCUUCAUCUCAUCACAUAGGUACUGCCUCACCUCACACCUUCAUAAGAAGAAAAAGGAUGAAGUGGAGCAGGACAAUCAUCACUGUACUUAUUUUGAGUCUGGACUAGUUUGGGUUCCAAGUCAUCGGGAAGAGAACCCGUUCAGUUCAGGAUGUGAUGCCUUCCUUGAGGAUACUUUUUAAUAAUCGAUGCAGACAAGUUGUGUGAAACUAAGCUCUGACUUGAUCACCAAGUGCCAUAGAGGCCUGUACAUAACAGGAGCCUGUGAGUCGCAGCAUGAAUGAAUGAACACGUCUGCAGAUACUAAUACAUCCCUCUGAAAUUUUCAGUUUUGUUGUUUUUUUUAAUCCCCAAAAGAGAAACUUAUACUUUAUUUUUAAAUUCAGUCAGAGUAUAAAUGCCUUCUUACCAAUCAAUAUUUCUACCUUUCAUCACAUAUCUUUUAUACAAAAAAGAUUUUUCUUAUGUUUGCAAAUUGCUUCUAACCAAAACUAAAAUGGCAUGAGGGAAAUAGUCAUAUUAAGACUUGUUUAACAAAAAUGUGCUCUAUAGUCUUCAUCUGAAUAAUGGUGCAAACAUACUAUGUGGUGUGUGUAGAUGCGUUAGCAAGUUCUGUAUACACGUGUAUAUGCAUAUUUUCAGAGUCAUAUCAUUUGGAUUUUAACCCUAAUGAAAAAAGGCUAUAAUUAGUUCUUUUUUUUUUAGUAAUUAUAGUAAUAUCAUAGUGGCUUUUGAGAUCAGUUUUCUGCCUACAUGCAUGAAACAACCCCAAAUUUUAACUUAAUGUAAAGGAAGAAAGAGUGUGAGCUGCAUUCUAUUUCAAUUUUCCUAAUGAAUUAUUCAAUCUCCUAAAAUAGUCGUUGAUAUCUUGUGUAGAUAUCCUAUAUGUAAAAUAAAAAUUUUAAAAAAAAACUCUUCUCCUUGACUCACAGGGACAUUAGAGGGCUGA